UACGUAGGGUGCGAGCGUUGUCCGGAAUUACUGGGCGUAAAGAGCUCGUAGGUGGUUUGUCGCGUUGUUCGUGAAAACUCACAGCUUAACUGUGGGCGUGCGGGCGAUACGGGCAGACUGGAGUACUGCAGGGGAGACUGGAAUUCCUGGUGUAGCGGUGGAAUGCGCAGAUAUCAGGAGGAACACCGGUGGCGAAGGCGGGUCUCGGGGCAGUAAAUGACGUUGAGGAGCGAAAGCGUGGGGAGCGAACAGG
rnacentral:rRNA from 1 species